AACGAACGCUGGCGGCAGGCCUAACACAUGCAAGUCGAGGGAGAAGCUGACUUCGGUCAGUGGACACCGGCGCACGGGUGCGUAACACGUGGGGACGUACCCUCAGGUACGGGAUAACAUGGGGAAACUCAUGCUAAUACCGUAUAAUAUCUCCGGAUCAAAGCUCCGGCGCCUGAGGAUCGGCCCGCGCCUGAUUAGCUAGUUGGUGAGGUAAGAGCUCACCAAGGCGACGAUCAGUAGCUGGUCUGAGAGGAUGAUCAGCCACACUGGGACUGAGACACGGCCCAGACUCCUACGGGAGGCAGCAGUGAGGAAUAUUGGACAAUGGGCGCAAGCCUGAUCCAGCCAUGCCGCGUGAGUGAAGAAGGCCUCGGUUGUAAAGCUCUUUCAGAUGUGAAGAUGAUGACGGUAGCAUCAGAAGAAGCCCGGCUAACUUCGUGCCAGCAGCCGCGGUAAUACGAAGGGGGAC
rnacentral:rRNA from 1 species